rnacentral:rRNA from 1 species
AGCUCCAAUAGCGUAUAUUAAAGUUGUUGCGGUUAAAAAGCUCGUAGUUGGAUUUUGGAACCUGAAUGGCUGGUCCGGCUCUGCCGCGCACUGACCAUUCGGUUCUUCUGUCUGGAGACUCCUUGUUCCUUCUUAACUGAAGGGCUUGGGGGAUCUAGGACUUUUACUUUGAACAAAUUAGAGUGCCCAACGCAGGCCUAUGCCUUGAAUACAUUAGCAUGGAAUAACGUAUAGGACUUUGGUUCUAUUU